rnacentral:tRNA from 2 species
GCCCUUGUAGUUCAAUGGAUAGAACAGCACACUCCUAACGUGCUAAUGUAGGUUCGAUUCCUACCGAGGGCA